AAUGGAAACUGUUUCCAAGGACUCCAACAUGAAACCAUGUGCUGUUAAGACCCACCCUCUGGAUGGUGUACCUGAUUGAACCCAACCAGGCAGCAAGUUGACAAAUGGACAUGAAUUUAACCUCUGAGUGUUCCAUAAGCUGGUAUUGUCCUGACAUUGCAAAGUGUUUACCACAAAAAUCCUCUACAUCCAUCACCCAGGGCCAGCCGUUUCCUGAUUCUAAUUCCACUGACAUUGAAAUCUGAAGCUCUCUAUGAGCUUCAUUCAAAAUGGACUUAACGGCUCUAGAUCUUAAUAGGAUCCACAUUCUAUUGCUUUUACAGGUAUGACAGUGAUGGGUACUAAAGAAGUUACUGAAGAAGCAAUAUUACAAUUUGAGUUUAAAAUGAAAAACACAUUUUAGUGUAAUGUUAUGGAAAACAACUGUAUAUUCAAGUACAAGGAUAUUUAUCCAGCCUUAAUUAUUUUUCUCUUACUCUAAUUUUGCCUUUUAGAAUGGCUGAAAUCAACUCUAAGAGCACCAGAAAAACAAAAUACUCUCAUAUAAUUCUGUGAAGAAGAAGAAGAAAAAAAAAAAAAAAAACAGAAAAGAGAGUUCCAGUCAUGCUUAAACCCCAUUAACUCUUUCAUUUAUUAUUAUUUUACUUUUGUCCCAGCCAUACCUUUGUACAUCACCGUGUUCUAAGCCUUGAGCUCUUAUAGAUUGUAAAAGCAAUUUUUGCUAUGACCUAUCCCAAUCCAU